AACUAUCCGAAAGGAUAGCUAAUACCGCAUACGUCCUGAGGGAGAAAGCGGGGGACCUGCAAGGGCCUCGCGCGAUUGGAGCGGCCGAUAUCGGAUUAGCUAGUUGGUGGGGUAAAGGCCCACCAAGGCGACGAUCCGUAGCGGGUCUGANAGGACGACCCGCCACACUGGAACUGAGACACGGUCCAGACUCCUACGGGAGGCAGCAGUGGGGAAUUUUGGACAAUGGGGGCAACCCUGAUCCAGCCAUUCCGCGUGAGUGAAGAAGGCCUUCGGGUUGUAAAGCUCUUUCAGCAGGAACGAAACGGUCGGCCUGAAUACGGUCGGCUAAUGACGGUACCUGCAGAAGAAGCACCGGCUAACUACGUGCCAGCNGCCGCGGUAAUACGUAGGGUGCGAGCGUUAAUCGGAAUUACUGGGCGUAAAGCGU
rnacentral:rRNA from 1 species